UUGUUGCAGUUAAAAAGCUCGUAGUUGGAUCUCAGGCUUGUGGCCGGUGGUCCGCCCGAUACGGGUGUGCACUGCCGUGCCCGGCCUACGUCUGGUUUAACGUUCGUAGUGCCCUUCACCGGGUGCUACGAAAUGCCAGAAUUUUUACUCUGAAAAAAUUAGAGUGCUUAAAGCAGGCCGUUUGUGCUUGUAUACUGUUGCAUGGAAUAAUGGAAUAGGACCUCGGAUCUAUUUUGUUGGUUUUCGGAGUCGAGGUAAUGAUUAAGAGGGACAGACGGGGGCAUUCGUAUUGCGCCGUUAGAGGUGAAAUUCUUGGAUCGGCGCAAGACGAACAACUGCGAAAGCAUUUGCCAAGGAUGUUUUCAUUAAUCAAGAACGAAAGUCAGAGGUUCGAAGACGAUCAGAUACCGUCGUAGUUCUGACCAUAAACGAUGCCAACUGGCGAUCCGCCGUAGUCUGGCUUAAAGGACUCGGCGGGCAGCCUCCGGGAAACCUAAGUCUAUGGGUUCCGGGGGAAGUAUGGUUGCAAAGCUGAAACUUAAAGGAAUUGACGGAAGGGCACCACCAGGAGUGGAGCCUGCGGCUUAAUUUGACUCAACACGGGAAAACUCACCCGGCCAGGACACCGUAAGGAUUGACAGACUGAGAAGCUCUUUCUUGAUUCGGGGGGGUGGGUGGUGCAUGGCCGUUCUUAGUUGGUGGAGCGAUUUG
rnacentral:rRNA from 1 species